UCCCUCGGUAACGCGCUAACGCUAAUUAGGCUGUGGAUUCCACGAGAGGCGUCUCCCUGAACUGGUGCUUCUUUUCACCUAGGCAUCUGUUUACUCAGCUAAUCCGUCUAAAUGCGGUACUUGGUAAAGCUAAUCAUGACCCAUUUUGAAGAUACUAUGUGAAUGAUGUGUCAGCUAAAUGAUUCAGCCUCUGCUUGCCUGUGCGGAUGUUCCAAGUGUGUCUACGUGGGUUUCCUUCUCCGGUUUCUAUCCCACUUCCCAAAAAUAUGCAGGAACACUGGGGGCAAGACCUGAAUACACACUUGAUGGUCACCAGUCAGUUACAGGGCAAUACACAGACACCAGUCCACCAAUCCAUCCUGUACCUCUGUCAUGGAUCAUCACUCCUUCUACCCUGAGUUCUAACAUCUGGAACUUGUUAACCAUGAACUAUUUAAACACCUAUCACAUUCAGCUGAGUGUGAAGCCUUGCUCAUUCCUGUGAGCGUGUCUUUCGCCCUCCUAGACACCUUCUUCUAUGUGUUUAUUAGAGAUAUUUUUCGUUACUGUUGCUUUGUUUCCCUGCUUCAUUAUCCUG